UGGGCAGUAGCUUAGUGGUAGAGCUUCCGCUUUAUACGUGGAAAGAUCUGGGUUCGAUUCCAGGCUGCUUCC
rnacentral:tRNA from 1 species